rnacentral:rRNA from 1 species
AGAGUUUGAUCAUGGCUCAGAUUGAACGCUGGCGGCAGGCCUAACACAUGCAAGUCGAGCGGUAGCAGGCCUUCGGGCGCUGACGAGCGGCGGACGGGUGAGGAACACGUAGGAAUUUGCCUAGUAGUGGGGGAUAGCCCAGAGAAAUUUGGAGUAAUACCGCAUAUGCCCUGAGGGGGAAAGUGGGGGACCGCAAGGCCUCACGCUAUUAGAGAAGCCUGCGUCGGAUUAGCUAGUUGGUAGGGUAAAGGCCUACCAAGGCGACGAUCCGUAGCUGGUCUGAGAGGAUGAUCAGCCACACUGGGACUGAGACACGGCCCAGACUCCUACGGGAGGCAGCAGUGGGGAAUAUUGGACAAUGGGCGAAAGCCUGAUCCAGCCAUGCCGCGUGUGUGAAGAAGGCCUUCGGGUUGUAAAGCACUUUAAGUGGGGAGGAAAAGCGGUACGUGAAUAUCGUGCUGCCGUGACGUUACCCACAGAAUAAGCACCGGCAAACUCCGUGCCAGCAGCCGCGGUAAUACGGAGGGUGCGAGCGUUAAUCGGAAUUACUGGGCGUAAAGCGCACGUAGGCGGUCAUGUAAGUGGGAUGUGAAACCCCCGGGCUUAACCUGGGAAUUGCAUACCAGACUGCAAGGCUAGAGUAUGAGAGAGGGUGGUGGAAUUUCCGGUGUAGCGGUGAAAUGCGUAGAGAUCGGAAGGAACAUCAGUGGCGAAGGCGGCCACCUGGCUUAAUACUGACGCUGAGGUGCGAAAGCGUGGGGAUCAAACAGGAUUAGAUACCCUGGUAGUCCACGCCGUAAACG